rnacentral:ncRNA from 1 species
CUCAUCAAGAGCGAUGGAGGGAAUGGCCCUGUGAAGUCGCAGCAACCAUUGCAGAGUGACAUCUGUAAACGGUGCUAAGUCCUGCAGCAACAGCUGUAAGAUGAGA